rnacentral:misc_RNA from 1 species
UUAAGUUCAGCGGGUAGUCUUACCUGAUUUGAGGUCAAAAAUGUCAAGUAUUGCCCGUGUAAGGGACGGUUAGAAGCAGGUUCAUAAUAGUCUUCCAAUCCACGGCGUAGAUAAUUAUCACACCAAUAGAUUAGGGGACCAAACCCACUAAUACAUUUCAGAGGAGCAGACCACAAAAGAGCGGACCUGCAAACCCCCAC